rnacentral:rRNA from 1 species
UGAGGAAUAUUGGUCAAUGGACGAGAGUCUGAACCAGCCAAGUAGCGUGCAGGAUGACGGCCCUAUGGGUUGUAAACUGCUUUUGUUUGGGAAUAAUCGACAUUACGUGUAAUGUUUUGCAUGUACCAUUCGAAUAAGGACCGGCUAAUUCCGUGCCAGCAGCCGCGGUAAUACGGAAGGUCCAGGCGUUAUCCGGAUUAUUGGGUUUAAAGGGAGUGUAGGCGGUUGGUUAAGCGUGUUGUGAAAUGUAGAUGCUCAACAUCUGACUUGCAGCGCGAACUGGCUGACUUGAGUACACACAACGUAGGCGGAAUUCAUGGUGUAGCGGUGAAAUGCUUAGAUAUCAUGAAGAACUCCGAUUGCGAAGGCAGCUUACGGGAGUGUUACUGACGCUUAAGCUCGAAGGUGCGGGUAUCGAACAGG